UAGGGAAUAUUGGGCAAUGGACGGAAGUCUGACCCAGCCAUGCCGCGUGCAGGAAGAAGGCGCUCAGCGUUGUAAACUGCUUUUAUCGGGGAAGAACGGCAGUCCUGCGGGAUUGUGUGACGGUACUCGAGGAAUAAGCACCGGCUAACUCCGUGCCAGCAGCCGCGGUAAUACGGAGGGUGCGAGCGUUGUCCGGAUUUAUUGGGUUUAAUGGGUGCGUAGGCGGUUGAGUAAAUCUGGUUUGAAAGUCAGUCGCUUAACGAUUGAGGGUGGCGGGAUACUGCUGAACUUGGAUGACCUGGAGGUAGGUGGAACGGGUUGUGGAGCGGUGGAAUGCAUAGGUAUGAAGCAGAACCACACUUGCGAAGGCAGCCUACUACGGGGUGAUUGACAUUGAGGCACGAGAGCAUGGGGAGCAAAAA
rnacentral:rRNA from 1 species